AUGAAAACGUCGUAGAUGUGGAUGACAUCAAUGAGGUUGAAGAUGAACAUCAAGAAGUGCAGUUGCCACAGGAUGCAGCAAAUGGAACACGUUUCAGGGAGGUGUUCUGCAACCACCAUUUCCAUGCCGAGCCAUGAAUCCAUAUCAGCCUGUACAAGUUGACACAUCUUCAAGCAACACGUCAACCAUGCAUGGGGGCUCUACAGGAAUGCUUGACCUUCCUCUGGAACGCAUGGCUCUGCGGCCGGGUCCCUUAAACUUUGCAUUAACAUUACCAACCAGGUCACGCUGAGAGGGAAGACUACUUAUUUAUCCCUGCUUCACCUCAGUAAGUGGUACUUCGACCCCUGCUCCACCUCUCUAAGGGUCAAGGGAACACGCUUCAAACCCUGCUCCAUCUCCCCAAGGGCUCGAAGUAACGCGAUGUGGAGGACCAGCGUGGAGGACUCAGCCGAACGCCAACACCUUUACCCGGCUUCCCAUUCAGCUCUCACCGCCAUAUGGGGUUGCUGCCUAAAGAGGGGUUUGAUCUAGCGUCACCUCCACCUAACUACGCCAGGUCACUUUCCUUCACACACGCUAAAGUUUUUUUUCUAGGAGGAUGAAAAAAUAACCAAAUUCACAAUUGUAUUUAUUUAUUAGGCUGCCAUGGACCUCUGUCUGGAAAGAAAACAAAACUUCAGUCCAUAUGACGCCUUUGUAAAAUGAUUAAGCAGGACACAGCAAGAAGCAAAUAUAUGUGGUGCAGAGAUUAAUCAAGCUGUAAAGUGGGGUGCAGGUACCAAGCAUGACUUAAUACGAAGCAUUGCAUUAUGAGUAAAUUAAUAUUUCCACGUUUACUGCAAUUUUGUGGUGUACGUUAUAAUUUUGUUAUUCUGAAUUGAAAUGUGUUUAGUAUUUACUAUGAUCACCACUUCACUAUAAACAUAGGAUAAGCUGUGGGGGAAAAGUAAGAAUAAAUAUAUAUAAAUAUA